rnacentral:rRNA from 1 species
CUAGAGUUUGAUCCUGGCUCAGGACGAACGCUGGCGGCGUGCCUAAUACAUGCAAGUCGAGCGGAGUUUUGAAAAGCUUGCUUUUCAAAACUUAGCGGCGGACGGGUGAGUAACACGUGGGCAACCUGCCCUUGAGACGGGGAUAACUCCGGGAAACCGGAGCUAAUACCGGAUAACACAUAUCUUCGCAUGAGGAUAUGUUAGAAGGUGGCUUUUAGCUACCACUCAAGGAUGGGCCCGCGGCGCAUUAGCUAGUUGGUGAGGUAACGGCUCACCAAGGCGACGAUGCGUAGCCGACCUGAGAGGGUGAUCGGCCACACUGGGACUGAGACACGGCCCAGACUCCUACGGGAGGCAGCAGUAGGGAAUCUUCCGCAAUGGACGAAAGUCUGACGGAGCAACGCCGCGUGAGUGAUGAAGGUUUUCGGAUCGUAAAGCUCUGUUGUUAGGGAAGAACAAGUAUCUGUUGAAUAAGCAGGUACCUUGACGGUACCUAACCAGAAAGCCACGGCUAACUACGUGCCAGCAGCCGCGGUAAUACGUAGGUGGCAAGCGUUGUCCGGAAUUAUUGGGCGUAAAGCGCGCGCAGGCGGUUCCUUAAGUCUGAUGUGAAAGCCCACGGCUCAACCGUGGAGGGUCAUUGGAAACUGGGGAACUUGAGUGCAGAAGAGGAGAGCGGAAUUCCACGUGUAGCGGUGAAAUGCGUAGAGAUGUGGAGGAACACCAGUGGCGAAGGCGGCUCUCUGGUCUGUAACUGACGCUGAGGCGCGAAAGCGUGGGGAGCGAACAGGAUUAGAUACCCUGGUAGUCCACGCCGUAAACGAUGAGUGCUAAGUGUUAGAGGGUUUCCGCCCUUUAGUGCUGCAGCAAACGCAUAAGCACUCCGCCUU